rnacentral:rRNA from 1 species
GACGAACGCUGGCGGCGUGCUUAACACAUGCCAGUCGAACGGAAAGGCCCUGCUUUUGUGGGGUGCUCGAGUGGCGAACGGGGGAGUAACCCGUGAGUAACCUGCCCUUGACUUUUGGAUAACUUCAGGAAACUGGGGCUAAUACCGGGUAGGAGCUCCUGCUGCAUGGUGGGGGUUGGAAAGUUUCGGCGGUUGGGGAUGGACUCGCGGCUUAUCAGCUUGUUGGUGGGGUAGUGGCUUACCAAGGCUUUGACGGGUCGCCGGCCUGAGAGGGUGACCGGCCACAUUGGGACUGAGAUACGGCCCAGACUCCUACGGGAGGCAGCAGUGGGGAAUAUUGCACAAUGGGCGGAAGUCUGAUGCAGCAACGCCGCGUGCGGGAUGACGGCCUUCGGGUUGUAAACCGCUUUCGCCUGUGACGAAGCGUGAGUGACGGUAAUGGGUAAAGAAGCACCGGCUAACUACGUG